rnacentral:rRNA from 1 species
CCUCGGGUGGCUGCAGUGAGGAAUAUUGCACAAUGGGGGGAACCCUGAUGCAGCAACGCCGCGUGGAGGAUGACGCAUUUCGGUGUGUAAACUCCUUUUAUAUGUCAAGAAAAUGACGGUAGCAUAUGAAUAAGCACCGGCUAACUCCGUGCCAGCAGCCGCGGUAAUACGGAGGGUGCAAGCGUUACUCGGAAUCACUGGGCGUAAAGGGCGCGUAGGCGGGUUGGAAAGUCAGGUGUGAAAUCCUACAGCUUAACUGUAGAACUGCACUUGAAACUUCUAAUCUAGAGUAUGGGAGGGGGAGAUGGAAUUAGUGGUGUAGGGGUAAUAUCCGUAGAUAUCACUAGGAAUACCUAAAGCGAAGGCGAUCUCCUGGAACAUUACUGACGCUAAGGCGUGAAAGCGUGGGGAGCAAACAGGAUUAGAUACCCCUGUAGUC